CGGCGCUGUCCGGUUCCGGCGGCGGCGAGGCCAGGCUCCGACCCCGGCGGCGGUGGCGGCGGCCGCGCCAUGCGCGCCCUGUAGAGCGGCUGAGGGGGAGGUGGAGCCGCCAUGAACCUGCGGGGCUUGUUCCAGGAUUUCAACCCCAGCAAAUUUCUUAUUUAUGCCUGUCUGCUGCUUUUUUCUGUGUUGCUCUCCUUACGUCUGGAUGACAAAAUUCAGUGGAGUUACUGGGCUGUAUUUGCUCCAAUAUGGCUAUGGAAGUUAAUGGUGAUUGUCGGUGCCUCAGUGGGAACAGGUGUAUGGGCCCGAAACCCACAGUAUCGAGCAGAAGGAGAAACAUGUGUGGAGUUCAAAGCUAUGUUAAUUGCAGUAGGCAUCCACCUGCUACUACUGAUGUUUGAAGUUCUGGUGUGUGACAGGAUCGAAAGAGGAACCCAUUUUUGGCUUCUGGUCUUCAUGCCAUUAUUCUUUGUAUCUCCAGUGUCAGUUGCGGCUUGUGUGUGGGGAUUUCGACAUGACAGAUCUUUGGAGCUGGAAAUCUUGUGUUCAGUCAAUAUUCUACAGUUCAUAUUUAUUGCACUCAGAUUAGACGAGAUCAUCAGAUGGCCAUGGCUUGUUGUUUGUGUUCCUUUGUGGAUCUUGAUGUCCUUCCUGUGUCUAGUAGUGCUCUAUUACAUUGUAUGGUCUGUUCUGUUCUUGCGCUCAAUGGAUGUGAUUGCUGAACAAAGGAGGACACACAUAACAAUGGCUGUCAGCUGGAUGACGAUUGUAGUUCCACUUCUCACGUUUGAGAUUUUACUAGUACACAGGCUGGAUGGGCAUAAUUCCUUCUCUUUUAUACCUAUAUUUGUCCCUCUUUGGCUUUCAUUGAUAACUUUAAUGGCAACAACAUUUGGACAAAAAGGAGGAAAUCACUGGUGGUUUGGAAUUCGAAAAGACUUCUGUCAGUUUCUGCUUGAAAUUUUUCCAUUCUUACGAGAAUAUGGAAAUAUUUCGUAUGAUCUUCAUCAUGAAGAUAACGAGGAAGCAGAAGAAACACCGGUUCCAGAACCACCAAAAAUUGCACCAAUGUUCCGAAAAAAGACUGGAGUAGUCAUUACACAGAGUCCUGGAAAAUAUGUGAUUCCACCUCCCAAGUUAAACAUUGAUAUGCCAGACUAAGAUGACAACAGCUUAUUAUGCUGGAACUGGGAAUCAACAGACAAAUGUAUUUCAUCUCAUGCCUUGUCCUGAUUACUUAAAAAUAGUACACUCAGGAACAGAUUAUCUGCUGAGGCUGUGGAGUGGCUACUGGAGGUCUAAAAAUAGGUCAAACGGUGGUAAGGAAGAGCAUCUACUUGCUGAGCCUGGCAGGAGGAUGGACUGGUGAAUCUCUUGAGUUGCUUUCCAUUACUGUCUCUUGAAUUUCAAACUAAACUCUUCCUUAAAUUACAUAGACUAUUCUUUACUAUCUUGUAACUAUUAGUUGAGGUAUUUGAUACCCUCAUCGCUUUGGGAAGAAAAGAUACAAGCCAUUCACUCCUAGAGAGUAUAUAACAGUGAGAAAUAGAGCUGGCUCAAUGUUGAGGUACUUCCUUCCUUCAGUUACUCUAUUUGUAGCUAAUUUCUGUCAACAGGUUGCUCUAAAUCCCAGCUUGUGAUAGGAAGUGAGUCAUUGGUGCCUUGCAGCAGAUGUAGGGAAAAGGAUCCUCUUUAGGGAGGAUGCUUCUCCAUUGCAUUACUAUAGUGAAAAGGCAUAGGCUGACUUCCCAUACAGUCCCUAGAAAGGAGGUAAAUGUCAAGUCCUUGUCUAUUAGCUUUCACUCCUUUCUGCUUUUCCUAUGGAAAGUUGUAAUUUCUGAUUUUGUUAUACAUUUCUUUACCACUUGAGGAAAAAGUGGAAAAGUAGACGACUGGAUGAAUCCUCCUCCUCUCCAAGCCUUUCCCUGCUUUUUAAGACUACCUUCCUCUUUUCUAGCGGAUGCUCUUUGCCAAUAACAGCAGAUGCCUGAUACUCCUACGUAACUACAGCUGCACUUUGCAUUUAUGUGAACUAACAGUUCAGGUAGCUUAAAUACUCUGAAUCAUGUUUCUUUACAGUUAACAUCUAAAUGACAUGAGUAGAGACUGCAUGGACACCUCUGCAUUUGUGAAAGGUACCUAACCCAAACAUUUCAGAACUCUGUCACUUCCUAAUGCUUUAAACUUCCAUACUCUUCAUUGUGGACCAGCU